CCGCGCGUACCAAAUUCUAGUUAAUUAUUUAAAACACGCACCUACAUAUACAUAUCUAAAUCGCGGUUAGCUUCUUUGACUUUGAAGAAGAUUCAGCUCACCAUCAGUGCAAAUUCAACCUUUAAUCAUGAGCUUAGUUGACUUUUCAAAAACCCUACGGUCCCUACCUAAUAUUAAUCAUAAAGCCAUCUGUGUUAAAAAAAAAUCAUAAAGCCAUCAUUGAUCAAAAUGAUGUUUCUUCAAUAGUUUUUUUUCGUAAGAUUUAAUAUCAACCAGCAAAGAAAAUAGUCAAGGCACCAAGAAAUAAAGGUGGCUUUUAAAACUUUCUUUUGUCAAAUUUUUUUUUUUAUAAUCUAUACUCAAUCAUUUUAAAAACCUUUGUAACAAAAACAUGUGUAUGAGUUUUUUUUUGUAAUAUUUUUGGUAAUUUCAGUUUAUAUUUGAUGAAAUAGUAACUUUAAAAUAUUUUCUAAAUAUUAUUGAAAUUUAUUAGAGAAAAUAUUGAACACAUAAAGAAAAUUGUUAUACGAAAGAGCUUAGAAUAUUUUGAAUUAAUGGCACGAUAUACUCAUUAUGUAACGACCCGCUCCCCAGUGUCUGAUACGUGGUUCAAAGUGACACACGUCUAUUCCUUUAGACCCAGGCCCGGUCCAGCACCAUGUGGUGCCUAAAGCCCAAAAAAUUUUAUAUCCAUCAAUAAAAUACAUAGCCUAUAAAAAUGUAAGAAAGAAGAAUCGAAGCCACCACCUCCGUGACACAAGAUAUAGCACUAACCACUACACCACUAUCGUUUUUAGCAAAACUGCUGCCCCUAAAAUAUAUAACACAAUUUUGGCGUCCAAACCAAGGGCUUUACCCGCUUUAGCCCAGGGCCGGCCUUGUUUAGACCUCCCAACUUGUUUUGUUACUAAUCCUAGGAAUCCGGAUGUAACACCCCCGAACCG
rnacentral:lncRNA from 1 species